UACGUAGGUGGCAAGCGUUAUCCGGAUUUACUGGGCGUAAAGGGAGCGUAGGCGGCGCGUUAAGUCUGAUGUGAAAACCCGAGGCUCAACCACGGGAGUGCAUUGGAAACUGGCGGGCUGGAGUGCCGGAGAGGUAAGCGGAAUUCCUAGUGUAGCGGUGAAAUGCGUAGAGAUAUGGAGGAACACCAGUGGCGAAGGCGGCUUCCUGGUCUGCAACUGACACUGAGGCGCGAAAGCGUGGGGAGCAAACAGG
rnacentral:rRNA from 1 species